rnacentral:rRNA from 1 species
AGAGUUUGAUCAUGGCUCAGGAUGAACGCUAGCGGCAGGCCUAAUACAUGCAAGCCGAGGGGCAGCAUAGUCUUCGGACUGAUGGCGACCGGCAGACGGGUGCGUAACGCGUAUGCAACCUACCUACUACAAGAGGAUAGCCCGGGGAAACUCGGAUUAAUACUCUAUAAAACAGGGGUCUCGCAUGGGACAAUAUGUUAAAGAUUUAUCGGUAGUAGAUGGGCAUGCGUACGAUUAGCUAGUUGGCGGGGUAAAGGCCCACCAAGGCGACGAUCGUUAGGGGGUCUGAGAGGAUGAUCCCCCACACUGGUACUGAGAUACGGACCAGACUCCUACGGGAGGCAGCAGUAGGGAAUAUUGGACAAUGGGGGCAACCCUGAUCCAGCCAUGCCGCGUGCAGGAAGACGGCCCUCUGGGUUGUAAACUGCUUUUGAUUGGGAACAAAUGACUCUUGCGAGAGUAGCUGAGUGUACCAAUAGAAUAAGCACCGGCUAACUCCGUGCCAGCAGCCGCGGUAAUACGGAGGGUGCAAGCGUUGUCCGGAUUUAUUGGGUUUAAAGGGUGCGUAGGCGGCUAUUUAAGUCAGUGGUGAAAUCCUGCAGCUUAACUGUAGAACUGCCAUUGAUACUGAAUAGCUUGAGUACUGUUGAGGUAGGCGGAAUUGACAGUAGCGGUGAAAUGCAUAGAUAUUGUCAAGAACACCGAUAGCGAAGGCAGCUUACUAAAGAGUAACUGACGCUGAGGCACGAAAGCGUGGGGAUCAAACAGGAUUAGAUACCCUAGUAGUCC